CGGAUUGGAGUCUGCAACUCGACUCCAUGAAGUCGGAAUCGCUAGUAAUCGUGGAUCAGAAUGCCACGGUGAAUACGUUCCCGGGCCUUGUACACACCGCCCGUCACACCAUGGGAGUGGGUUGCAAAAGAAGUAGGUAGCUUAACCUUCGGGAGGGCGCUUACCACUUUGUGAUUCAUGACUGGGGUGAAGUCGUAACAAGGUAACCGUAGGGGAACCUGCGGUUGGAUCAC
rnacentral:rRNA from 2 species